rnacentral:rRNA from 1 species
UACGGAGGAUCCGAGCGUUAUCCGGAUUUAUUGGGUUUAAAGGGAGCGUAGGCGGAUGUUUAAGUCAGUUGUGAAAGUUUAAGGCUCAACCUUGAAAUUGCAGUUGAUACUGGACGUCUUGAGUGCAGGAGAGGAAAGCGGAAUUCCUAGUGUAGCGGUGAAAUGCGUAGAGAUCUGGAGGAAUACCGGUGGCGAAGGCGGCCCCCUGGACAAAGACUGACGCUCAGGUGCGAAAGCGUGGGGAGCAAAC